GCUGAGCAAGGGACAAGGCCACUGGUUGUCAUCUGUCUGGGCAUUGGGUGUGACCUCACAAGGCAACUUGCAUUCUUAACUCUGUCUCAGCCCCUGAGAACCCUGAGCUUGUUGGAUAACCCAACCUGCAAAACACAGCUCACAGAUUUCUGAGAAGCCUGAAGAUUCAGGAUCAGGACCAUAGUAAGAUAUGAGUGUCUAGGUAGCAUGACAACAGCCAGAACCACUUCUCAACAAUUGUGUGAUGUGUACACAGCUGCUGCAGUCCUGGACACUCAUCACUGCCACCCAUGACUCUGGAAUUGGGUAUUGCUGUGGACAACAAUACUACUUUGUUCUGGGAAAGAAUGCCCCUUCAUCCUUGCUUCUUUGAGUCACUCAAUGGAGAUUCAAGGUGACAUAUGGGAACAUUACAUUUGCUGAGCAUGUUUGUGCAGCCCUAGGCCUCAGGGGUGAAGGAAAGUGCCCCCUGUUUUGUUCUGUUUUUGCAGUAGGAACCCAGCUCUGUCACUCAGCAAGUCUCAAAGAUGGCCUUAAAUAGGGAGAUCCCACAACAUAACAAGGGAGUUCCACAUAGUGGACAGUCAAAAGCAUGGACACAUCUCCCAUACCGUGGAUCUUCCUAGGGUUCCAAACUCCCCUUGAAACUUACACAUUGGCAGGUAUAAAGUGAACAGCACAAUUGUUCACCUCUGGAAAUAGAAGGGCCACUCCCUAAUCACCAUGGAAAUAUUCCUAAGAAUGUGCCUUUUCUUAUUGGGCAGAAGGCCAGAUAUCUUUUUUUAUCAGUUUUUUCAAUGGCAGUAAUUUAUUUCACAAGGUCACCUUUAAUGGGCCUGACCCAUUUUUCUGCCUAUAUUUUAAUCACAGGCUGUAUCUUCAGCUUCUCCACACUAGAUGAUACCUUAUCCUCCCAGCCUACUGUUCAGUGUUUU
rnacentral:lncRNA from 1 species